rnacentral:rRNA from 1 species
AUAAAAAUAUCUUUGGUUGGGGCAACCACGAAGAAAAAAAAACCUUCGUUCUAAAAAAGAAAUUAACAAAUUAAAAACUUUUAUAAAGAAAAAGAUCCAGAAAAUACUGAUCAAAGAAAAAAGUUACCGCAGGGAUAACAGCGUUAUUCUCUUUAAGAGCUCGUAUUGACAAGAGAGUUUGCGACCUCGAUGUUGGACCGGGGCACCCAAGAGGUGUAGCAGCCUCUAAAGGUAAGUCUGUUCGACCUUUAAAGCCCUACGUGAU